rnacentral:rRNA from 1 species
AGUGAACGCUGGCGGCAGGCCUAACACAUGCAAGUCGAACGGCAGCACCGUAAGAGCUUGCUCUUACGGGUGGCGAGUGGCGGACGGGUGAGGUAUACAUCGGAAUCUACUUUUUCGUGGGGGAUAACGUAGGGAAACUUACGCUAAUACCGCAUACGACCUACGGGUGAAAGCAGGGGAUCUUCUGACCUGGCGCGAUUGAAUGAGCCGAUGUCGGAUUAGCUAGUUGGCGGGGUAAAGGCCCACCAAGGCGGCGAUCCGUAGCUGGUCUGAGGGGAAGAUUCGCCAGCCUGUCAGGGAGACCCGGUCCCGACUCCUAGAGGAGGCCGCAGUGCGGAUUCUUGGGGGAGGGGCGCGAGCCUGAUCCAGCCAUACCGCCGGGUGGAAGAAGGACUUCUGGUGGGAAAACCCUGUUGUUGGGAAGUAAAAGCAGUACGUUCAUCCCGCGCUGUUCUGACGGUACCCGAAGAAUAAGCCCCGGCUAACUUCGUG